rnacentral:rRNA from 1 species
GAUGAACGCUGGCGGCGUGCCUAAUACAUGCAAGUCGAACGCUGGAAAUCUAGCUUGCUAGAUUGAAGGAGUGGCGAACGGGUGAGUAAUACAUAAGCAACCUACCCACGAAGACUGGGAUAAUCUCUGGAAACGGGGACUAAUACCGGAUAGGUAAUCGGAAGGCAUCUUCUGAUUAUUAAAGGUUAAAAACACUGGUGGAUGGGCUUAUGGCGCAUUAGUUAGUUGGUGAGGUAACGGCCCACCAAGACGAUGAUGCGUAGCCGGCCUGAGAGGGUGAACGGCCACAUUGGGACUGAGACACGGCCCAGACUCCUACGGGAGGCAGCAGUAGGGAAUUUUCGGCAAUGGGGGAAACCCUGACCGAGCAACGCCGCGUGAGUGAUGACGGCCUUCGGGUUGUAAAGCUCUGUUGUAAGGGAAGAACGGUAGAUAGAGAAUAUCUAAAUGACGGUACCUUACCAGAAAGCCACGGCUAACCACGUG